rnacentral:rRNA from 1 species
GAACGCUGGCGGCGUGCCUAAUACAUGCAAGUCGAGCGAACAGACGAGGAGCUUGCUCCUCUGACGUUAGCGGCGGACGGGUGAGUAACACGUGGAUAACCUACCUAUAAGACUGGGAUAACUUCGGGAAACCGGAGCUAAUACCGGAUAAUAUAUUGAACCGCAUGGUUCAAUAGUGAAAGACGGUUUUGCUGUCACUUAUAGAUGGAUCCGCGCCGCAUUAGCUAGUUGGUAAGGUAACGGCUUACCAAGGCAACGAUGCGUAGCCGACCUGAGAGGGUGAUCGGCCACACUGGAACUGAGACACGGUCCAGACUCCUACGGGAGGCAGCAGUAGGGAAUCUUCCGCAAUGGGCGAAAGCCUGACGGAGCAACGCCGCGUGAGUGAUGAAGGUCUUCGGAUCGUAAAACUCUGUUAUUAGGGAAGAACAAAUGUGUAAGUAACUAUGCACGUCUUGACGGUACCUAAGCAGAAAGCCACGGCUAACUACGU